rnacentral:rRNA from 1 species
GCUUAGGAAUCUGCCCAACAGUGGGGGACAACUCGGGGAAACCCGAGCUAAUACCGCAUACGUCCUACGGGAGAAACGGGGGAGUCUUCGGACCUCGUGCUGUUGGAUGAGCCUAAGUCAGAUUAGCUUGUUGGUGGGGUAACGGCCUACCAAGGCUACGAUCUGUAGCUGGUCUGAGAGGACGAUCAGCCACACUGGAACUGAGACACGGUCCAGACUCCUACGGGAGGCAGCAGUGGGGAAUAUUGGACAAUGGGGGCAACCCUGAUCCAGCAAUGCCGCGUGUGUGAAGAAGGCCUG